AGGUGAUAGGAGAGUGGAUUCAGGACCCAAGCCUCCUCUAGCUCACAAACCUACCCACCUGAGGAAGAUCAGUGACCAGAAGCCGGCCAGACACGGGAAGUCCGCGAAGCUUACCUAAAUAGAGACCCAGCCGGGGGAAACCAAAUGGUGUUCUUGGUGGGGAAGAGGCAAACAGUCCGCACUGCAACACCCGCGUGGUGUCAAGUAACAGUCAGAUUAAACAAACAGCCUCAGCUGCUAUUUUUACUUCCAAAUCAGCCACGAGUAACAGAUCACUUGGGGAGUGAGAAAUUGCUUGCCGCUUAGCCGGACCCUAACCACGAUUCCAACUUCAAUCCAGAAUGAUUGCUAAAGCUAUUCCAGCACCUAGAGUCAAAUAAAAAUAUCCCGAGGUGGGAAGGAAAACAUUUGUUUAGGGAAACAUUAAAAACAGGAGAGUGUGUGCCUUGGAGCCAGAGCCCAGAGCCCUGCUGAUGUCCCGGGGCAGAAAUAGCCCGUUUCAUCAUCGGCUCUGGACGACCGCCGCCCGCAUUCCUCGAGUAAGGAGCCGUCCUCUGCUGUGCUUUUGGAGCAGAAUAAUCUGCAGCUAGGGGAAGGCCAGGCUGGGUCUCAGGGUGAGAGUUACAGAAGGAUAUGAAAUAAUCGGGGAAGAGGCAAGUCCCGUUCUGCCAGGCUCCCCUCUCCACCUCUGGGAAGGGCUGGCCUCCCUUCAACCCUGAGGUGGGCUCAUGCCUGCCUUCCCAAUGGCUGCUUUCUGUCUCAGGCUGGGGUCACCUGCUCCCCAAACUGCCCACAGAUCCCCCAACUUUUUCCACUGGCUUUUCCUUGGCUUGUGCCAUGCCAGCUCCCAGAGUGCCUUCCUUACUCUCCCAAGCUGGCCCUAGGAUAGUCUGCUUGCUACCAGGAUUUAAUGCAAGAGUGGGUUUUUUUCCCCCUUUCUCUCCAAGGUUCUUUUUUAUGCUUCCCUGACUGUGGCCUGAGAAAGCGGAGAUGACUGGCCCCCGCUGGGUGUCCUGCUCUGUGCAGCGCUCAAAGCCUCUGCAAGUUUGCAGUGUGCUGUGUCUUUGGGUCUAUUUGUAGACUGUCCCUUCUGCCCCUGUGGGCUCUUCAAGGGCAGCAACCUGUGUCCCAGCCCCAAGCUGGGGCCUGGCACCACCUCCAGCCUUGAACCGGCUGACAGCCAGGGCCACAGGGACCCAGGUCUAUGUACUUUUGUCUAAACCAAGUCACAAAGAACAGCUCCUCCUUGCCCUGCAGACUAAGGUGUGAGAUUCCAACCAGCAGGAGCAUUCAGACCCGCCUCCUCCUGGGAGCCUCAAGACUUGCCUUUUGCCCUGAGAGCUUCAGAACCUCGCUGUGGGGAUGAUUACUUGCUGCUCCGCACUCAGAGAUGCUUUGAGGGAGGCCCAAAGUGAACCCCUCAAUUUUACCCACCCACCUCCCUACCUCCCCAUUUGCCAAAACAAACGCAUGCCAAAAGGUCAGACAAAAGCCAUCAACUUGAGAUGGGAGCCAACAUUUAAAAAGUACACAGGAUUUUGAGCCCUGGCUCCAUUAUUUCCUGGUCAGUUGACAUGUCACAUACUUACCCUUCCUGAGCCUCAGUUUACCCAUCUCUAAAGUGGAGAGAAUGCCUGUGCUCUGUGGGAUUCAGGGUCAGGGGAGCUCAUGUACAUGAAUAUGCUCGUCUAUUGCAAAGCUUCCCAAAAUGUUAGUCAUUUAUUUGUUAUUUUUUCCCAUGAUUUUUGCUACACCUCAACCAUCUGUAUCAACAUUUACUUACUAUUUUCCUUUAAAGAAAAUUUAAAUUGACUUGCUUUUUUUCUUGAACAGAAGAACUUUAUGGAAAACAACAAUACUUAAUAGAUCAUGGAUUUGACAUAUUUGUUAAUUUCCCUCCCUCCCAGUACACAUUGAAACAAAUUUACAGUCAGUUCAUAUGUCAUCUGUUUGACCCAAAUCAUUUUGUUCCAGAUGUUAGAAAAUGUUGCAUUACUAAACCUCAUUUUAUGGAGGAGUUUGCUUUGGGGUGUGAGUAACAUGAGCUGAAAGCUUCGGCAGGGCCGCUGGUCUUCCUAAUUUGCUUUCCUCCCCUCCUCAGCACCUUCCUUCCCCAGCUUACGUUUCAUUCUUCACAGGUGGAGAGCAUGACCUCAUGUCUUGUUUAGGAUCCUAGAAACAGCAAGCUUUGCUCUGCAGCAGGAGCGAAUGGUGUUUGCUUGAAGUGGCUGAUUGAGG
rnacentral:lncRNA from 10 species